UGGGGAAUUUUGGACAAUGGGCGAAAGCCGAUCCAGCAAUGCCGCGUGUGUGAAGAAGGCCUUCGGGUUGUAAAGCACUUUUGUCCGGAAAGAAAUCCUUGGCUCUAAUACAGUCGGGGGAUGACGGUACCGGAAGAAUAAGCACCGGCUAACUACGUGCCAGCAGCCGCGGUAAUACGUAGGGUGCAAGCGUUAAUCGGAAUUACUGGGCGUAAAGCGUGCGCAGGCGGUUUGCUAAGACCGAUGUGAAAUCCCCGGGCUCAACCUGGGAACUGCAUUGGUGACUGGCAGGCUAGAGUAUGGCAGAGGGGGGUAGAAUUCCACGUGUAGCAGUGAAAUGCGUAGAGAUGUGGAGGAAUACCGAUGGCGAAGGCAGCCCCCUGGGCCAAUACUGACGCUCAUGCACGAAAAGCGUGGGGAGCAAACAGGAUUAGAUACCCUGGUAGUCCACGCCCUAAAACGAUGUCAACUAGUUGUUGGGGAUUCAUUUCCUUAGUAACGUAGCUAACGCGUGAAGUUGACCGCCUGGGGAGUACGGUCGCAAGAUUAAAACUCAAAUGAAUUGACGGGGUCAUAGCUGUUUCCU
rnacentral:rRNA from 1 species